rnacentral:tRNA from 1 species
GGUCCUAUAGCUCAACUGGAUAGAGCAACUGCCUUCUAAGCAGUAGGUUUCAGGUUCGAGUCCUGAUGGGACUG